GACGAACGCUGGCGGCGUGCUUAACACAUGCAAGUCGAGCGGUAAGGCCCUUUCGGGGGUACACGAGCGGCGAACGGGUGAGUAACACGUGGGUGACCUGCCCUCAGCUCUGGGAUAAGCCUGGGAAACCGGGUCUAAUACUGGAUAUGACUCCAUGACGCAUGUUGUGGGGUGGAAAGCCUUGUGCGGCUGAGGAUGGGCCCGCGGCCUAUCAGCUUGUUGGNGGGGUGAGGGCCUACCAAGGCGACGACGGGUAGCCGGCCUGAGAGGGCGACCGGCCACACUGGGACUGAGACACGGCCCAGACUCCUACGGGAGGCAGCAGUGGGGAAUCUUGCGCAAUGGGCGAAAGCCUGACGCAGCGACGCCGCGUGAGGGAUGACGG
rnacentral:rRNA from 1 species